rnacentral:rRNA from 1 species
UACGGAGGGUGCGAGCGUUGUCCGGAAUCACUGGGCGUAAAGGGCGCGUAGGCGGCCUGAUAAGUAGGGGGUGAAAUCCUGCGGCUUAACCGCAGGGCUGCCUUCUAAACUGUCAGGCUAGAGCACAGUAGAGGCAGGUGGAAUUCCCGGUGUAGCGGUGAAAUGCGCAGAUAUCGGGAGGAACACCAAUGGCGAAGGCAGCUCGCUGGGACGGUACUGACGCUGAGACGCGAAAGCGUGGGGAGCAAACAGG